CCUAAAAGUGAUGACGUAGUACACGGAUCUAAGGGGGGACAACACCAUGCUUCUUUCUGAGGAAAUAGAAAAGACGAUGCAAACAUUUCAGUGCAUGCGGUGUUAACAUAAACGACUACAGAAUGAUGCCAGUUGCUGAUGGUUAUGGAGGUGAACAGCAGAUUGACUACAAGGGAAAGUAUAAGACUCUAAAGAAGAAGUUGAAGCUCCUGGUUUAUGAGCAAGAAUGUUUCAAUUCGGGCAUUAAG